rnacentral:rRNA from 1 species
AGUGAACGCUGGCGGUAGGCCUAACACAUGCCAGUCGAACGGCAGCACAGUAAGAGCUUGCUCUUACGGGUGGCGAGUGGCGGACGGGUGAGGAAUACAUCGGAAUCUACUUUUUCGUGGGGGAUAACGUAGGGAAACUUACGCUAAUACCGCAUACGACCUACGGGUGAAAGCAGGGGAUCUUCGGACCUUGCGCGAUUGAAUGAGCCGAUGUCGGAUUAGCUAGUUGGCGGGGUAAAGGCCCACCAAGGCGACGAUCCGUAGCUGGUCUGAGAGGGUGAUCAGCCACACUGGAACUGAGACACGGUCCAGACUCCUACGGGAGGCAGCAGUGGGGAAUAUUGGACAAUGGGCGCAAGCCUGAUCCAGCCAUACCGCGUGGGUGAAGAAGGCCUUCGGGUUGUAAAGCCCUUUUGUUGGGAAAGAAAAGCAGCAGGUUAAUACCCCGCUGUUCUGACGGUACCCAAAGAAUAAGCACCGGCUAACUUCGUG